GGUUUUCAUUUGCAUUUCCCUAUUGAUUUUGAGCAUCUUAUUUGCCAUUCAAAUAUUAUCUUUGGUAAUGUGUCUGUUCAAAUCUUUUGCGAAAUUUAAAAAAUGAGGUUAUUUAUCUUCUUAUUGAUCUUGUAAGAGUUAUUUCUGUGUUCUGGAUACAUUCCUUUUCAGAUAAAUGAUUUGCAAAUAUAGUUAACCCUCAUUA
rnacentral:lncRNA from 10 species